rnacentral:rRNA from 1 species
GACGAACGCUGGCGGCGUGCUUAACACAUGCAAGUCGAACGCUGAAGCCCUUUCGGGGGUGGAUGAGUGGCGAACGGGUGAGUAACACGUGGGUAAUCUGCCCUGCACUCUGGGAUAAGCCUUGGAAACGGGGUCUAAUACCGGAUAGGACACAUCGCCGCAUGGUGUGUGUGUGGAAAGUUCCGGCGGUGCAGGUUGAGCCCGCGGCCUAUCAGCUUGUUGGUGGGGUGAUGGCCUACCAAGGCGACGACGGGUAGCCGGCCUGAGAGGGUGACCGGCCACACUGGGACUGAGACACGGCCCAGACUCCUACGGGAGGCAGCAGUGGGGAAUCUUGCGCAAUGGGCGAAAGCCUGACGCAGCAACGCCGCGUGGGGGAUGACGGCCUUCGGGUUGUAAACCUCUUUCGACCGGGACGAAGGGUGACUGACGGUACCGGUAGAAGAAGCACCGGCUAACUACGUGCCAGCAGCCGCCGCAG